ACACGACUACAUUAGAUACCCGGGUAGUCCUAGCCGUAAACGAUACUCGCUAGGUGUCGGCCACGGUGCGACCGUUGUCGGUGCCGUAGGGAAGCCGUGAAGCGAGCCACCUGGGAAGUACGGCCGCAAGGCUGAAACUUAAAGGAAUUGGCGGGGGAGCACCACAACGGGUGGAGCUUGCGGUUUAAUUGGAUUCAACGCCGGAAAUCUUACCGGGACCGACAGCAACAUGAAGGCCAGGCUGAAGACUUUGCCGGAUUUAGCUG
rnacentral:rRNA from 1 species